rnacentral:rRNA from 1 species
AUUGAACGCUGGCGGCAGGCCUAACACAUGCAAGUCGAACGGUAACAGGAAGCAGCUUGCUGCUUCGCUGACGAGUGGCGGACGGGUGAGUAAUGUCUGGAAAACUGCCUGAUGGAGGGGGAUAACUACUGGAAACGGUAGCUAAUACCGCAUAACGUCGCAAGACCAAAGAGGGGGACCUUAGGGCCUCUUGCCAUCGGAUGUGCCCAGAUGGGAUUAGCUAGUAGGUGGGGUAACGGCUCACCUAGGCGACGAUCCCUAGCUGGUCUGAGAGGAUGACCAGCCACACUGGAACUGAGACACGGUCCAGACUCCUACGGGAGGCAGCAGUGGGGAAUAUUGCACAAUGGGCGCAAGCCUGAUGCAGCCAUGCCGCGUGUAUGAAGAAGGCCUUCGGGUCGUAAAGUACUUUCAGCGGGGAGGAAGGGAGUAAAGUUAAUACCUUUGCUCAUUGACGUUACCCGCAGAAGAAGCACCGGCUAACUCCGUG